ensembl:lncRNA LINC01229 long intergenic non-protein coding RNA 1229
AAGGGCAGGAGGUAACCAUUAAAGAGGACCAUCAUGUAGUGUGAGGAGUCAACAUUUCACACUAGAAAGCCCUUGGUUCAAGUUUUGUCUCUGCCACCUACAGAUUUUGUAACCCUGAGGAAACUAGCUACCUCUUUAUGUACUGCCCUAUGGAGAGGCACACAUGUCAAGAAACUGAGGGAGUGCCUUCCAGUCAACAGCCAGCCAGGAACUAAGGUGCUCAGUACAGCAGCCUCCACAAAGGACUGAACAAUGCCAACAGCUAUUUGACUGUGCUUGGAAGAUCUCCGUUUAGUUAACCCUUCAGAUGAGACCGCAGCCCUGGCCAGCAAACAAAUUGCAGCCUAUGGAAAGACCUUAAGGCAGAAGCACCCAACUGAACCACCCGAGGGCUCUGACUUACAGAAACUGUGAGCAUAUAGUGAAAUGGCCUCUACCUUAUUUUGAAUGGAUUUCUGGGAUAAAGUUCUUCAGUGAUAACAUGUUUGAAGCGGCUAUCUUAUGUGCCCAUGUUACAUGCUCAUGAUAAAGCUGCAUUUCCUGAGGGGACACCAAUGGAUACACCUCUGCCUGGCACGCAGCUUAGAGGCUAAAUGUAUGAAAAGCAACACCAUGCAAAUCAUUUUGAAACUGCUGUGGAACUCUCACGGGACCCUCCAUUCUAGACAUCCAGUCCCACUAGUGAUCUGACCAUGAAACCUACUAAGAGACUUCCAGAAGAAGAUGACCUCUGAAAGGAGAAAACUUUCUUCCAAGCUUCUGUGGAACAAGAAGAUGCCAUCCCUUUGGUGGAGCCCAAAGGGAAACCAGUGAUGCUGCCUGGAGUUAAAGGAGGCCAGGAGCACCAGAAGCUGGAGGAGGCCGGGGUGGAUUCUCGCCUGGAGGCUUCAGUGGGAGCACGAGCUCCCGACACUUCGGUUCCAUCUCUUGUUUAAAGGCACCCAGUUUCUCAUCAUUUGUUACAGCACCAUGGAAAACCCACACACAAGUGAAGCCCCGACCCACCUCCCAAGUGCCCAUCUGAGCACCCCUCGUGGACUCUGAGCAGGGGGUUGCCAUCACCAACUCCAAGUCUUGCAGCCCCUCUUCCCUUCAGUCUGGCUGCCACCUUCUUCAUUGCCCUGGAAAAAAAUAAUGAAGUUUCACCAUUUAAAGGGUUUCAGUGCAGCUUGCUAUGGGAACACUGGAGAGUAACACAAAUGGCCAAUUGUCCUAAUAGCCACCAUGGAUUGGAUGGAUGCUAACAACAGGCUCACAGUUCUCCUUCUGUUGCCUCCUUUUAUCCACAUGAGAAUCAAACAAGACUACUGAUUAAAUGAAGCCUUUGAUGAAGUGCAUGCAGUUUGUAGCUUGAUUCAUGGGAAUACUCAUCACAGACUGAAAGUGUAACCCAGGGUCUCUGGGUUUUUGGGAACGCGCUGUGUAAAAGUAUCUACUUGUAACUGUUACUCCCUGAGUUGUUGUUGUUUUAGAAAGUUCCAAGAAGAAGCUUAGCCUUGGAAAAAACAAAAACUGGUUGAAUCCAGAAGUGGAGAUGAAUUUUGGCCAACGCUCCUCACUGCCACACUAAAAACCCUGCUCAGAGAGGAGCUUAUUCACCAUGUUCUAUUCAUGCAAUGUGUGUGGAAACAUGAUCUACGACAGCAUGCGUGCUGCCUUCACCCUACCUCUACAUACAAUGACUCAUUUAACCUGCUGAAUAAAAGCCCUGUUUUCACC